UCUGGAAGAGCAGCAUUGAGAUGGCCACCCAAGUGUGUCUUUAUUCUCUGCGAGCAGGAAAGCAUCCAGGGAUCAGGGCUCUGAAGGGCUGCAGCAGUGGGGCUGCUAUGCUGGGGAGCUGCGUGAGCCCUUGAGGAUGAAAACAAGACAUAGGAUGUGUCCAGGACUGCAAGGAACACAAAAAAGCAGCCAGAGCUGGUUCAGAAGCUGGGGCAGGAAGAGUUUUUCCCCCAUGGAGGUCUGGAUGGUGGGGAUGAGAGUGCAGCACUCCUGGUGGACAUUCCCAUUGCUAAGGAACAGAUGCACCCCCGUCCUGGAGCAGGUCAGCAGAGAGAGCUGCUCGAGCAGGAGGCAGAGCAAGGACAUUCACCACCCCCAAACACAGCUGUGGGGGUCAGAGAUCCUCAGGCAGAAGCAGGGCCUGGAGCUGGGCGUGGGGUGGGAAUCGUGGCUGUGGGGGUUUCGGGGCUCUCAGCUGCUCUCCUCGGAGCUGCCACUGCAGGGGUGGAACCUCAUGGUGCUCAGGGGAUCCGAGACGUAGCCUGCAAGGCACAGAGAGAAGUUCACCUGUGUCUCAGCAGAAUAAUGUGCAAAUAAUUAAUAAUGCCAACA